rnacentral:piRNA from 1 species
UCAUUUCAAGUGACCUUAGCCACACGUGUGU